AAUUUCCUGCAGUGUUCGUUUUCGAGCUUUGCGGCCCGGCCCGAUUAAUCUAACCCGGGGGCUGCGCGCUGAGGUGAUAUGUCAUGCCUUCACUGGAAGACAGAGCCUCAUACCGCGGGUCCCCACCUGGACUCAUGGGAUACGUGAGCCCUUUGCACCGGACGGCACAGGUGGGUCUGAA
rnacentral:other from 1 species